rnacentral:rRNA from 1 species
CUGGGGAGGUAGUGACAAUAAAUAACAAUGCGGGUUCCUCUUUUGGUUCUGCAAAUUGGAAUGAGAACAAUCUAAACACCUUAACGAGGAGCAAUUGGAGGGCAAGUCUGGUGCCAGCAGCCGCGGUAAUUCCAGCUCCAAUAGCGUAUAUUAAAGUUGUUGCAGUUAAAAAGCUCGUAGUUGGAUUUCGGAACGGUCGGGUUGGUCCGCCCAGCGUGGUGUGUACUGGCCUUGGUGGUAUGGCUGGGGUGGUUGUCUUAACGGGUGGCCGCCUCUGGUCUGCUACCCUUGCCGCGUGUAUUGCGUGGCAAGUGAUCGUUCUUCUCCCUCGGAGACGAAGUCUGUCCUUUACUGGAUGGGCUUUGGAUGCGAGGUGUUUACUUUGAAAAAAUUAGAGUGUUCAAAGCAGGCCUAUAUCUUCGCUUGAAUACAUUAGCAUGGAAUAAUGGAAUAGGACUCUGUGUCUAUUUUGUUGGUUUGAAGGCAGAGAGUAAUGAUUAAUAGGGACAGUUGGGGGCAUUCGUAUUUAAUUGUCAGAGGUGAAAUUCUUGGAUUUCUGAAAGACGAACAACUGCGAAAGCAUUUGCCAAGGAUGUUUUCAUUAAUCAAGAACGAAAGUUAGGGGUUCGAAGACGAUCAGAUACCGUCGUAGUCCUAACCAUAAACAAUGCCGACUAGGGAUCAGCGUACGUUCGUUCUAUGGGACGUCGUUGGCACCUUACGAGAAAUCAAGAGUUUUUGGGUUCUGGGGGGAGUAUGGUA